rnacentral:tRNA from 1 species
GCCUGGGUGGCUCAGUCGGUUGAGCGUCCGACUUCAGCUCAGGUCAUGAUCUCACAGUUCGUGAGUUCGAGCCCCGCAUCGGGCU